ACUUUGUUUUUCUGUUAAUCUACAGACAGUUCCAGAAUAAAAUCUGAUCAACGUAUAAAAGAGCUCACUGACGAGCUGGGUACACGCGAACAAGAGCUCACUGAACAGCUAGCUAAACUCAAACAAGAGAGGGCUGCACUUGUCUCUUCAGUUGAUAACGGAUGCCAUAGAUUUUCAUUCUCAAGGACGUUAUCAAUGUCACUGUCAAACAAACCACUUAGAAGAAAUACAAUGGCACAUUCAAUGACUGAAAAUGCAGAUGUCAUAGAGGAUGAAGAGACGAACCCGUUACACCAAACGAUCAGAACCGCUUGACGAGGUCGCUAGUUGGGUUAAAGGAAUAGUCCACUCAAACUUAUCUUUUUUUAAACUUUUUUAAAUUUAAUCCACUGUUGCUGAAUGUUUUGCAUGUCAGCAAUCACGUUUUCAAUACAUAGGACUUUCAAGAUGAUGAUGUCUAUAUCUUGAAAACCUGACAAACAUUUUUGGGGCUGUAUCAACAUUGGACUAAUGAAACAAAUACCCAUUUUUUUAUUGGAGCAAUGGUACUAUUUCACACUUUCUAUGUCACACUAGUUUUAUGUCACACUAUGUAGCCUCGAGGAAGCCUUUCUUUGGAGAAGGUUCUUCAUUAGGUUCUUUGCUUUCUGAAUGGUUGCAACCUUCUUGCUAGAAGGUUGUGGGUGAAUUCCUGUUUUUAUGUUGCAUUAUUUCACAUCGCUUGGCCUGUGUUUUUGAUUGUUUUAUUCUACCUGUAUUGCCUCUUUAUGUUCAUGGGUUCUGUUGGUCUGGAACCUCAAGGGAUGUCAGCAUGUACAGUACAUUCUGAAAGUAUUCAGACCCCUCAACUUUUCCACAUUUUGUUACGUUACAGCCGUAUUCUAAAGUGGAUUAAAUUAAUAAAAUAAGUCCUCAUCAAUCUACACACAAUACCCCAGAAUGACAGUGAAAAUAGGUUUUUAGACAUUUUUGCAAAUAUAAAAUAACUAAAACAGAAAUAUCUUAUUUACAGAAGUAUUCAGACCCUUUGCUAUGAGCCUCGAAAUUGAGCUCAGGUGCAUCCUGUUUCCAUUGAUCAUCCUUGAGAUGUUUCUACAACUUGAUUGGAGUCCAAUCAAGUGGUAAAUUCAAUUUGAUUGGACAUGAUUUGGAAAGGCACACGCCUGUCUAUAAGGUCCCACAGUUGACAGUGCAUGUCAGAGCAAAAACCAAGCCAUGAGGUUGAAGGAAUUGUCCAUAGAGCUCCAAGACAGGACUUUGUCAAGGCACAGAUCUGGGGAAGGGUACCAAAACAUUUCUGCAGCAUUGAAGGUCCCCAAGGACACAGUGGCCUCCUUCAUUCUUAAAUGGAAGAAGUUUGGAACCACAGACUCUUCCUAGAGUUCGCUGCCCGGCCAGACUGAGCAAUCGGGGGAGAAGGGUCUUGGUAAGGGAGGUGACCAAGAACCUGGCCUUUAAUCAGGCCUUUAUGGUAGAUUCGCCAGAUGGAACCACUCCUCAGUAAAAGGCAAAUGACAGCCCUCUUAGUCUACCAACAGGCACCUAAAGGACUCUCAGACCAUGAGAAACAAGAUUCUCUGGUCUGAUGAAACCAAGAUUGAACUCUUUAGCCUGAAUGCCAAGCGUCACGUCUGGAGGAAACCUGGCACCAUCCCUACGGAGAAACGUGGUCGUGGCUGCAUCGUGCUGUGGGGAUGUUUUUCAGUAACAGGGACUGGGAGACUCGUCCAGAUCAAGGGAAAGAUGAACGGAGCAAAAUACAGAGAGGUCCUUGCUCAGGACCUCAGACUGGGGUGAAGGUUCACCUUCCAUCAGGACAACAACCCUAAGCACACAGCCAAGACAACGCAGUAGUGGCUUAGGGACAAGUCUCUGAAUGUCCUUGAGUGGCCCAGCCAGAGCCCGGACUGGAACCUGAUCAGACAUCUCUGGAGAGACCUGAAAAUAGCUGUGCAGCAACGCUCCCCAUCCUACCUGACAGAGCUUGAGAGGAUCUGCAAAGAAGAAUGGGAGAAACUCCCCAAAUAUAGGUGUGUUAAUAAGCUUGUAGCAUCAUACCAAAGAAUCAAAUCAAAUGUAUGUAUAAAGCCCUACUUACAUCCGCUGAUAUCUCAAAGUGCUGUACAGAAACCCAGCCUAAAACCCCAAACAGCAAACAAUGCAGGUGUAGAAGCACGGUGGCUAGGAAAAACUCCCUAGAAAGGCCAGAACCUAGGAAGAAACCUAGAGAGGAACCAGGCUAUGAGGGGUGGCCAGUCAUCUUCUGGCUGUUUGAGCCGAUUUGGACAUAUUUGUAUAAAAGACCGAACAUAUGGAGCUCAGUGUAUAUUUGUGUAAAUAUAUUAAAUAUGAAUGUAAAUGGUGAAAUAUUAGGUACGUACCUUUAUGAUUUAUAUUUACCUGAUUGAGAUAUAUUCAUUUGU